rnacentral:rRNA from 1 species
GCUCAGAUCGAACGCUGGCGGCGUGGCUAAGACAUGCAAGUCGAACGCGAACGCUCCCUUCGGGGAGCAAGUAGAGUGGCGAAAGGGCGAGGAACACAUGGGUAACGUACCUUUGGCUCGAGGAUAGCUGUGGGAAACUGCAGGUAAUACUCGAUGAGACCCCGAUGCCCCAAGGCAUCGUGGUCAAAGGACGGGGACCCCUUCGGGGGCCUGUUGGCUGAAGAGCGGCCCAUGUCCCAUCAGCUUGUUGGUGAGGUAACGGCUCACCAAGGCAACGACGGGUACCGGGACUGAGAGGUUGAUCCGGCGCAUUGGGACUGAGACACUGCCCAGACUCCUACGGGAGGCUGCAGUAACGAAUAUUCCGCAAUGGACGAAAGUCUGACGGAGCGACGCCGCGUGUGGGAAUAAGCCCUUCGGGGUGUAAACCACUGUCGGGGACUACCAAGCAAUGAGGGCUAAUACCUCUCGGCGUUGAGGAAUCCCCAAGGAAGCCACGGCUAACUUCGUGCCAGCAGCCGCGGUAAUACGAAGGUGGCAAGCGUUGUUCGGAAUCAUUGGGCUUAAAGCGUAUGCAGGCGGCCUGUCAAGCGUCUUGUGAAAUCCCUCGGCUCAACCGAGGAAUUGCUCGGCGAACUGAUCGGGCUUGAGGCAGGUAGGGGUGCGUGGAACUCUUGGUGGAGCGGUGGAAUGCGUAGAUAUCAAGAGGAACGCCGAAGGUGAAGACAGCACACUGGACUUGUCCUGACGCUGAGGUGCGAAAGCGUGGGGAGCGAACGGGAUUAGAUACCCCGGUAGUCCACGCCGUAAACGAUGUCUACUAGGUUGUGGAGGUUCUGACACCCCCACAGUCGGAGCAAAAGUGUUAAGUAGACCGCCUGGGGAGUACGGUCGCAAGGCUAAAACUCAAAGGAAUUGACGGGGGCUCACACAAGCGGUGGAGCAUGUGGAUUAAUUCGAAGCAACGCGUAGAACCUUACCUGGGUUUGACAUGCUUGGAUGCGAACCGGGAAACCGGGGAUGCUGCCCUUCGGGGUGAAACUUGCACAGGUGCUGCAUGGCUGUCGUCAGCUCGUGUCGUGAGAUGUCGGGUUAAGUCCUUUAACGAGCGAAACCCUUGCCGUUAGUUGCCAGCGGGUAAUGCCGGGGACUCUAGCGGGACUGCCGGUGUUAAACCGGAGGAAGGGGGACGACGUCAAGUCAUCAUGGCCUUUAUGCCCAGGGCCUCACACGUGCUACAAUGGCGAUCACAGAGCGACGCAAGACCGCGAGGUGGAGCAAAUCGCAAAAUGUCGCCCCAGUUCGGAUUGUAGGCUGACAACUCGCCUGCAUGAAGGAG